rnacentral:ribozyme from 1 species
UGCCCAGCACUUCUAUCCCUACCUCCUCGCGGUACUGGCCGGGGUACGAGUAACCUUAGGGAAGAUCGGGUAACCAACCCCCGGUGGGAACUUUGGUCAUAUGCUGACAAAGAAGG